rnacentral:rRNA from 1 species
AUUGAACGCUGGCGGCAGGCCUAACACAUGCAAGUCGAGCGGAUGAGAAGAGCUUGCUCUUCGAUUCAGCGGCGGACGGGUGAGUAAUGCCUAGGAAUCUGCCUGGUAGUGGGGGACAACGUUUCGAAAGGAACGCUAAUACCGCAUACGUCCUACGGGAGAAAGCAGGGGACCUUCGGGCCUUGCGCUAUCAGAUGAGCCUAGGUCGGAUUAGCUAGUUGGUGAGGUAAUGGCUCACCAAGGCUACGAUCCGUAACUGGUCUGAGAGGAUGAUCAGUCACACUGGAACUGAGACACGGUCCAGACUCCUACGGGAGGCAGCAGUGGGGAAUAUUGGACAAUGGGCGAAAGCCUGAUCCAGCCAUGCCGCGUGUGUGAAGAAGGUCUUAGGAUCGUAAAGCACUUUAAGUUGGGAGGAAGGGCAGUAACUUAAUACGUUGCUGUUUUGACGUUACCGACAGAAUAAGCACCGGCUAACUCUGUG